CUGUGCUUGAACCAUUUGUGCAAGCGGUAAGCUCUAAGCUGAAUACCUUCUUUUCUUCCAGGAGUCUAGAAUUUGGCCCUGCAAAUGGAGGCUGGUAAAGCUCAGAAAAAUGGCCACAACAGCUCUUUUUGAGACAGAAGACGACCAGAGACCUUCAGACUGGAGGCUGGGAACCCCAUCACAUUGCCACUGCCUGCCCUCACUCUAUCCGAGGCGCCUUCAGCCUGGAGUCUAGAAACUUCACGCGGCCAGAAGCAGCAAUUGUCAUGACAAGCGGUGGCUCAUCAAAUUUCAACAGAGCAACUGACAGUCAUUUCAUACGAGGGCAGGAAAGUUAGUUAAUAUCUAGCAGGGAGCGUGUCAUUUGAUGGAGCCAAUCAGUGGUCAGUAAGAUAGUUAUCACAGGUUCAACUGGGCAGCACCAAAUUAGCAGAGUUUCCCCUCUCUUCUUUGUUUCAAUCUUGUAAUCAGCUCUUCCUUCUUUCUCAUAAAAAUUCCUUGCUUUCCCUGCAUGAGUGUGUCACUUGUCUGGUUAUUCCGGAAUCUGUGCUCUCCCCCGAAUUGCAAUUCUGAGACCGCCAAUAAACGCCUGUGUUCCUUUUCA